UCUUCUCUAUCUUCUUAGCACUUUCCUAAUCUAACACAACUAACCAUCCCCUACCCCUUAACAUUGAUUUUGUUGUAAUUUCCUCGAAUUUGUGUGCUUUGUUUCAUUGUUUUGAAUUUUUACUAAUCUCGUCUCAGUUGUAUAUUUUCAGGCACCCGGACGUGGUACAACGCGGGAGCACUCAGCCAGCCUCCAGCCAGCCAGCCACAGAUGAAGAGGAAGGAGCCCAUUGCCCAGUUUUGUCUAGCGGCUUACAUUUGCCAAGGCGGAGCGUCGAUCCCACCGAGAGGUUCAGCAGCAUUCUGGGGAACAAGGAUCGACUGCGACCGCACAUGGAAGAGAGGAUAUGCGAUGUGAUGCAGCCCUCUGUUCCCAGUCCUUUGAAGAGGAGUCUGCCAACCCAGGGACGGUCAGGGUUUGGCUGUUGUGGAUUCCCAGAUGAUUAGCGGACUGCAGCCUGCCAGAGGAAGUAUGCAGAGUUCAGGGACGUACUGCGGCCAACUCCGGCGUUG